rnacentral:rRNA from 1 species
UAAAUUUUAUUUAUUAAUUUUAUUUAUUUAAGUAUUAUAUUUAAUAAAAAUAAUUUUAAUUCAAUAUAGUUUUAGUAUUUUUUAAAGAAAUAAUAAUUUUAAUAAUAGUUUAUUUGUAUUGUAAAAGAAGAUUGAAAUAAUUUGAAAAAUUUUUGUUUUAAAAGAAAAUUUAAUUUAUUGUACCUUGUGUAUCAGGGUUUAUUAAUUAAUUAAUUAUUAUAGUAAUUUUUCUCGAAUUUUAAAGAUUUAAUUAUAUAUAAAAGUUAUUGUGGAAUAAUUAUUUUUAAUAUAUAAUUAGAAAUGAAAUGUUAAUCGUUUUAAAAUAUAUCUAGUUUUUUAAGAAAUAAAUUUAAUUUAGAUUUAUAAAUUAAAAGUAUUAUUUAUUUAAUAUUUUUAAUUUAUAAAAUUAAUAUUUUAAGGGAUUAGCUUUAAAAUAAAUUUUUAAAUUUUAAAAAAGUAUUUAAUAAAUGUAAGCUUAAAAAUAGUUAUCAUUAAUAAAUUUGUUAUAAUUUAUUUUAAAUUUUUUAUUAUUUAUUAUAAAAUUAAAUUAUUUAUUAAAAUAUAAAUUUUAAUAUUAAUGAUUUAUAAAUUAUGGUAAAAUUAGUAUAUUUAAUUUAUAUAAAUUAUUUAAAUUGAGAGGUUUAAAUAAGGAAUUCGGCAAAUUAUAUAUUCACCUGUUUAUCAAAAACAUGUCUUUUUGUAUUUAAUUUAAAGUCUAACCUGCCCACUGAUAGAUAUUAAAGGGCCGCAGUAUUUUGACUGUGCGAAGGUAGCAUAAUCAGUAGUCUUUUAAUUGAAGGCUUGUAUGAAUGGUUGAAUGAGAUAUAUACUGUCUUUUUUAAAUUUUUAUAGAAUUUUAUUUUUUAAUUAAAAAGUUAAAAUAUAAUUAAAAGACGAGAAGACCCUAUAGAUCUUUAUUUUUUUUAAUUAUAAGUUAAAAAGAAUAAUUAAAUUUAUAGUUUUAUAAAAAAUUUUACUGGGGUGGUAUUAAAAUUUAAUUAACUUUUAUUAUUUGUUUACAUUAAUAUAUGUAUAUUUGAUCCAAUUUUAUUGAUUAAAAAAUUAAGUUACCUUAGGGAUAACAGCGUAAUUUUUUUUUAGAGUUCUUAUCGACAAAAAAGAUUGCGACCUCGAUGUUGGAUUAAGAAUUAUUUUUAGGUGUAGAAGUUUAAAGUUUAGGUCUGUUCGACCUUUGAAUUCUUACAUGAUCUGAGUUCAAACCGGCGUAAGCCAGGUUGGUUUCUAUCUUUAAUAAAUUAUUAUAUUAUAGUACGAAAGGACCUAAUAUAAAAAAUAUAAAUUUUAAAUUUAUGAAUUAUAUUAAUAUUUAAUAA